UUUUUCCCCAGUAAAAUAUUAUUUAAAUUUUGUGGUUUGUCUUUGUAUACAUAAUUAGAAAAAGGAAACCUGCAUACGGAACAAUGCCCUUUUAAUAGGGAUUUUUAAAAUUAAUUUGAACUUAAAGAUUUGGUUCUUUUUUUAAUUAAGUGUGCAAAGUUAAAGGUGAAGUUCGGUCAAAAAUUAUAUUUUCAUAAUCAAUAGUCAUAAAAGAAAAAAAAAGAAUACCAUAAUUCUUUUUAAAUAAAACCCUUAUUUUUUAUAAAUAAUUUGUGUUAACCACGUGUAAAAACACCUCUGUAUACUGACCCCUUUACGUUUUUACGAAGGCUGGGUCGAGUUUGAAUUAUGACGUUUUAUAGUUCAAAAAGCGAAGUUCGGUGUUAGGGAUUAGGUGUAAUCACAUGAAGAAGCAUUUUGUUUACACAUAUUUAUUAUUUCAAUAUGCCAAACUGUGCUGCCAUCGGCUGUACAAAUCGAAGUAGCAAUAAUAAAAAGACAGAAAAGGGUAAGGGAAGCGAGGAAAAUAAGAACCUAAAUAACGAAAAGCUUACGACAAAAGACGAAGAUAACAAUGAAAGAAAAAUCCGGGUAGUAUUUUAUCAGAUUCCUUGUGCGAAAAAAGAUAAAGAGCUUUGGAAUAAAUGGCUACACGAUAUAAAAAGAAGUGGUAACUUGCCGAAAGACUCUGGGUUUUAUAUUUGUUCUCAACAUUUUGAACCAGAGUGCUUCGAAUGAGAUUUACAAGUAAGUCUUUUUGUUACCUAUGUUUCACCAAACAGCCAAACAUUUGUCUUUCUCAUAUUUAGAAAAAUUCAACACAGUUUCAUUUAUUACAGCCAUUUCAAAAACAAAACCAUGUCAAAAAAAAUCAUUAUAUUUUCUUCAUUUUCUUUACCCCAGUGCUGAAUAUUUUUUUCACAUCGAAAAAUCCUUCAAGAACAAAAAAAAGAAAGGACAAAUGCUGUAAUACCGAUUUUUCUUUCUCGCCCGAUGGAUGUCUGUCAUAGAAGAAUUUUCAGAAUACAGCGAAGAAGCAAUUAGUAAUAAAGAGAAAAAUCAAGACGAAUCGUUCAAUUUGAAAAAUCUGCCAGAUAGUUAGAAUGAUAACGAAUCCGAUGCGGAUAUCCCCAACCUAAACGGCACGCGUUUUAUUGUUUUUGGUCUUGCCUUCUACCUCUGCUACGAUUUUGUUUCACCUGUUUUAAACCAGCUGAAGUGAAUAAAAUUGCAGUUAAAGGGACUCAACUAAUCGUACAUUUGUUGUGCAGUGAUCAUCAUGCUCACCAAUGGUCAUCCCAACCACUGAAAAUCAACUGUCAAUUGAAGGCAUUGCAACUGACAGGCACGUUCAAAUCCGCAAGUACAUGGGAGAAGAACGAAAGGAUAUUAAACAUCAUUUUGACGACUUAUGGCAUAUGGGGAAAACAUUAAAAGAAAGUUGGUCAAAUGUGCCAAGAAAACAAAUGCUAAAGAUUUGUUUCCUUGGGUAAAAGCUGUUGUAAACCAUUUCUGCUGGUGUUGCGCCUCUUGUAACUGUAACGUGGUAGAGUUACGAGAGAAAUGGCUGAGUUUGUUGUGUCAUGUAAAGAACAAACACAAAUAGGAAAGCAACAAAAUAUAUUACAAAUGUGAACACUCUAAACUCUCUAAAUUAGAACAGCGACAACGCCUGCCUACAAAGCCCUUAAAUCUGUAGUUCGGGCUAAGUCUUUGUUGCAUGAUUUAAAGUACUUCGUGGAGUUCAAACACACAGAAAAUUUGGAAGUUUACCACUCACUCUACAACAAAUAUUUCCCAAAGAGGUUACACUUACAGAAAUGAUUGCUAGGUCACAACUCGCCGUUCUUGACUUUAAUCCUGGAGCUGGCUCCUCCCACGCACAAACAUCGUCUGGAGAGCAUUGCUAUAAGCAACAAUACUCAAGGAUUACAGACUCCUGGGUUGUCAAGAAAGUUUACACGGAAAAGGAAUGGUUGUACGUAGAGGAUAUUGUAAGUGAAGUUAAGUAUUUGGUUACAACUAAAGAAGGGUAUGCAGCUCCCAAAGUCGACGAUGUUCCAAAUUAUAUAGCGCCAAGAGAGAAACCAGAUAAAAAAAAGCCAUUGAAAAUAUGAAAACAAGGUUUACAUUGUAAUAAUUUUUUUUUAUCAUUAGCAUUCAAUCCCCUCUUUAGCUCUAAGGUUAAAGUAGGUUCUUUUAUUCAGAAUCGGAAUCCGUGUUUUCAUACAGUUGUUUGUCGUCGGAUUUGCUCUCCGUGAAUGGAAUAUAAAUACCAUUUUCAGAUGGAUAUUUAUUACGAAUUGCCCAUAAAGCACACAACGGUAUAACUUUUCAAGCGCCUUUUCCCAAUCUGUUAUGUAUCCACCACGUGUACUGUUUAUAACCGGCAAAACGUAGUGAACUAAAAAGAAAUUGUGAUAUAACACAAGUUUGUUUCCAAGUCCUUUCUUUCCCCUAAAAAAAGAUGCAAUAAAAACGUACCAAUUAUCUGUGUGCAUUGCAUCGCCCCUUAAGUUAUAUAGGGCAGGCAGUGCAGUGGUUAGUACUGGUUUACACAGACAAAUCAUCCCAAAAGUUUCGCCUUCAGUUAUACAUUGUUUUCCUAAAAGGAAAAUCUUAAGAAAUGACCCCCGUCUCAAGUUUUGAUUUUUGAGCGCACAUUCUCAUUCAAUUUGUAAAGCUGAAUAAAAUAAAACAACCACCGUUUUUUGUGAGAUUAUUUUGGCAGUAGCGAAUGAUAACGAAUAAAAUAUAUGCGAAGGAGAGUUAAAUGUUUUUCAGAAAAAACUCAUGUUAGGCAAAAUAUUUUGAAAGAAGUUUUGCGUCAGUUGUCGUGUUCGUAGGCAUAUUUUUUUUAUCAACGCGAUGACCAAUAUUUAAAAUGAAUAUGUAGAGUUUUGUUAUGGUUUUAAACACGAAAAAGAAAAUUAUGCUUGGCUAAA